rnacentral:lncRNA from 1 species
UUGACAGAAAAGCCCAUCUAAAGUGUCCAGACAAGGUGCAAGAACUGAGCCAGGAGCUUCUGUGGCAAGCUGCGGGGAAGUCUGGGGCUUUCAUCUUCUGAGUCCUGGCUCAGCGUUCACCGGCCUGGCUUUGGAGCAUAUCUGCCAUCCAGUGUCUCCCUGGGAUUUAAAUAGCGCUGUUUCAUUCCGGUUUAUCAGGAGAAUUUACGCACAUGGCCCCAGUAAUAUUGAGACAUCCGUUAGGAAAUCCAGGCAGGGGAAAAUGAAUGUUGCUGCUAACAUUUGACAUCAAUCGCCCGAUCACAUGUUGUCCCAUCAUUACUCAGCACUGACACAAAGGGAAGAAAGAGACCUCUGCUCAAAUGGUGCUCUCAGACAAGGAACCAAUUCACAGUCCUUGGUAACGGCAGAACAGGGAACAAGAUGAAAUU